UACGAAGGGGGCUAGCGUUGCUCGGAAUCACUGGGCGUAAAGCGCACGUAGGCGGAUUGUUAAGUCAGGGGUGAAAUCCUGGAGCUCAACUCCAGAACUGCCUUUGAGACUGCAUCGCUUGAAUACAGGAGAGGUGAGUGGAAUUCCGAGUGUAGAGGUGAAAUUCGUAGAUAUUCGGAAGAACACCAGUGGCGAAGGCGGCUCACUGGACUGGUAUUGACGCUGAGGUGCGAAAGCGUGGGGAGCAAACAGG
rnacentral:rRNA from 1 species